GGCGAACGCUGGCGGCGUGCUUAACACAUGCAAGUCGAACGGAAAGGCCCUGCUUUUGUGGGGUGCUCGAGUGGCGAACGGGUGAGUAACACGUGAGUAUCCUGCCCUUGACUUUGUGAUAACUUCAGGAAACUGGGGCUAAUACCGGAUAUGAUCUCCUGCUGCAUGUUGUGGGUUGGAAAGUUUCGGCGGUUGGGGAUGUACUCGCGGCUUAUCAGCUUGUUGGUGUGGUAGUUGCUUACCAAGGCUUUGACGGGUAGCCGGCCUGAGAGGGUGAACGGCCACAUGGGGACUGAGAGACGGCGCAGAAUCCUACGGGAGGCAGCAGUGGGGAAUAUUGCACAAUGGGCGGAAGCCUGAUGCAGAAACGCCGCGUGCGGGAUGACGGCCUUCGGGUUGUAAACAGCUUUCGACUGUGACGAAGAGUGAGUGACGGUAAUGGGUAAAGAAGCAACGGCUAACUACGUG
rnacentral:rRNA from 1 species